rnacentral:lncRNA from 1 species
UAGGCUGCAUUCCGAAACUCAUUUUAAAAAAGUGUUGCAAUCUUUUAGUCGGUGAAUGUAUAAUACAUAUGAUGUACACCAUUUACAUAGUCAUUUACGCUAUUCCGAGCGAGUUUUCUAUGUGUCAGAGGUGAAUGGUUCAUUUGCUAGUCAUUUUAUUCGACGAGUCAUUCGAACUGAAAAGGAGAGAGCUAUAAUGCCCGGCUGUGUAAUAGAUUAUUGCAUAAACUCUGCUAAAAAGGAUUUUAAAAUGUGUCGUUUUCACGAGACUGCUAAAAAGACCAAAAAUUUGUGCUGAAAGUACAGGACAAUAAGACAACUCCAUCUAAUAUUUCAGUGUUAUGUACAUUUUGAUGCAGAAAUGUUUUCAUGCAAAAAUGAAAAUAGAGAGAAGACAUAAUUGUAUAUUGAUUUAUUAUUUUAUAUGCAAUUCUAUCUUCAUUAGUUAUGUUUUGAAUGUAA